CCCGCCCCCACCCGCUGCGCGCGCCCUGGGGUCUGGGCCGCCUGGAAGCUCCUCGCUCCCCGCGCCGAGCUGCUGAAGCCCAGCCCUCAAACUUCUUUCCAGGACCUCGGGGCCCUGAGCCAUGUCUUCACAGAGCCGCGUGCAGGCGGAGCAUCUGCCCUUGCCCUGGCGUAGUCCUCGCCUCCAGGGAAGCUGGGCUCGUCCUGUUCCCUCCCCCGGGAACUCCCAAGGCCGCCUCCCCCGGCGGGAAACUCGGAAGAAAUGAAAAAUACUAACUUCACGAAACCUCUCCAGACAGCCCUCGCCUCCCUCCGUAUUCCCACAGCCCGUCCUUCCGGUCUUUAUUUUAUGGACAUUAAAUAAUAAACGUUUAGU